AUUGAACGCUGGCGGCAUGCUUUACACAUGCAAGUCGAACGGUAACAGGGUGCUUGCACCGCUGACGAGUGGCGAACGGGUGAGUAAUGCGUCGGAACGUGCCGAGUAGUGGGGGAUAACGCAUCGAAAGGUGUGCUAAUACCGCAUACGUACUGAGGUAGAAAGUGGGGGACCUUCGGGCCUCACGCUAUUCGAGCGGCCGACGUCUGAUUAGCUAGUUGGUGAGGUAAAGGCUCACCAAGGGGACGAUCAGUAGCGGGUGUGAGAGGAGGAUACGCCACACGGGGACUGAGACAGGGCGCAGACUCCUACAGGAGGAAGCAGUGGGGAAUUUUGGAGAAUGGGCGAAAGCCUGAUCCAGCCAUGCCGCGUGUCUGAAGAAGGCCUUCGGGUUGUAAAGGACUUUUGUCCGGGAGCAAAUACCCAGUGCUAAUAACGCUGGGGGCUGAGAGUACCGGAAGAAUAAGCACCGGCUAACUACGUGCCAGCCGCCGCGGUAACAC
rnacentral:rRNA from 1 species